rnacentral:rRNA from 1 species
GGAUCCAGACUUUGAUCAUGCGCUCAGGAUGAACGCUAGCUACAGGCUUAACACAUGCAAGUCGAGGGGCAGCAUGUUGGUUGCUUGCAACCAAUGAUGGCGACCGGCGCACGGGUGAGUAACGCGUAUCCAACCUACCCUUGUCCAUCGGAUAACCCGUCGAAAGGCGGCCUAACACGAUAUGCGGUUCACGGCAGGCAUCUAACGUGAACGAAAUGUGAAGGAGAAAGAUGGGGAUGCGUCUGAUUAGCUUGUUGGCGGGGUAACGGCCCACCAAGGCUACGAUCAGUAGGGGUUCUGAGAGGAAGGUCCCCCACAUUGGAACUGAGACACGGUCCAAACUCCUACGGGAGGCAGCAGUGAGGAAUAUUGGUCAAUGGACGAGAGUCUGAACCAGUCAAGUAGCGUGCAGGAUGACGGCCCUAUGGGUUGUAAACUGCUUUUAUAGGGGGAUAAAGUGUGCCACGUGUGGCAUAUUGCAGGUACCCUAUGAAUAAGGACCGGCUAAUUCCGUGCCAGCAGCCGCGGUAAUACGGAAGGUCCAGGCGUUAUCCGGAUUUAUUGGGUUUAAAGGGAGCGUAGGCCGUUUGGUAAGCGUGUUGUGAAAUGUCGGGGCUCAACCUGGGCAUUGCAGCGCGAACUGCCAGACUUGAGUGCGCAGGAAGUAGGCGGAAUUCGUCGUGUAGCGGUGAAAUGCUUAGAUAUGACGAAGAACUCCGAUUGCGAAGGCAGCCUGCUGUAGCGCAACUGACGCUGAAGCUCGAAAGCGUGGGUAUCGAACAGGAUUAGAUACCCUGGUGGUCCACGCGGUAAACGAUGGAUGCUCGCUGUUUGCGUCUGACGUAAGCGGCCAAGCGAAAGCGUUAAGCA